AGCCAGCAGCCGCGGUAACACGGGGGGCGCAAGCGUUAUUCGGAAUUAUUGGGCGUAAAGGGCGCGCAGGCGGUCUUGUCAGUCAGGUGUGAAAGCCCGGGGCUCAACCCCGGAUGGUCACUUGAAACAGCAAGACUUGAGUACUGGAGAGGAAAGCGGAAUUCCUGGUGUAGAGGUGAAAUUCGUAGAUAUCGGAAGGAACACCAGAGGCGAAGGCGUCUUACUGGGGCUGUUCUGACGCUGAGAAACGAAAGCUAGGGUAGCGAAUGGGAUUAGAUA
rnacentral:rRNA from 1 species